rnacentral:rRNA from 1 species
UACGAGAGGCCCAAACGUUAUUCGGAAUUACUGGGCUUAAAGAGUUCGUAGGCGGCGCAGAAAGUAGGGUGUGAAAGCCCUCGGCUCAACCGAGGAAUUGCGCUCUAAACUACUGUGCUUGAGGGACCUAGAGGUGAGCGGAACUGAUGGUGGAGCGGUGAAAUGCGUUGAUAUCAUCAGGAACACCGGAGGCGAAGGCGGCUCACUGGGGGUCUUCUGACGCUGAGGAACGAAAGCCAGGGGAGCGAACAGG